CCGAAGUAAAAUGAAACGUGAAAUGUUUAUUGGGUUUAAUAAUUACCCUGGUACUUUUUAUUUUCAGUUCAAAACUGAUUAAGGUUUGAUGCAAGUGUCAUAUGGAAUACUGAGAUUUUAUAAUUUGAACAGUUUACAGAGCAAUUAAAAUAUCGUUAAAUAUGUCAAAAACUAUAAAAGAAAUCAUUUUUGAGGAAUUCCUGACAUGCAGUAUUUGUAUGGAAGAAUUUCAAGAGCCGAAGGUACUAAAAUGUCUUCAUACAUUCUGUGAAGAAUGUAUACAGACCACAAUACAAAAGCAAAUUAUGACGUCACAUUCGGAUAUUUGGUGUCCUGUAUGCCGGACUAGAAUUGACGUCGAUUCAAAUGGGGACUAUAACCUUCAAACUAAUUUUGUCAUCCAGAAUUUAUUUGGAAUGAUCAAGGAUUUGCCAACCAAUGAAACAUUUGCAGAAUUAUACAAAGUAAAAGCUGGACACAAUCUAAACAUGGCACAGAUUUUUGCCAUAUCGGUAUAUGCAUUUUUAAACUUUUGAAUUUGGCAUUGUUUGUUAUUGUUUACUGUGUUUUUGAGCAGAUUUGGGAAGAUGGGCGAAAAAAAGAUCACCCCUAAAUAUGCCAAUUAAGGAAGGUCUGCAGGUCGGUCAUCACGUGGUUAGUAGCUGUAAGUUCAUUCCGUAGAAAUCCUUCGAUUUUUACGCGAAAAUGUUAAAUCUCGCCAUCUUAUAUCCA